AUAUAUCCGGCAAUGGCAAUAACUUCCAUUCGGUCAAGAAGAGGAUUGGGUAUCAUUUCAAUAACGUUCGCCGUGCAGACAAAAAGAACCUGUAAUAGACAUUUCCAAACGAGAAACUUAUCACCUCACCGGCUCACCCACUCACCUUUGAAAGGUCAAUUGGGACAUCAAGAUAAUGGUCCAAAAAGUUAGCAUUCUGCUCAGGAUCAAGAAGCUCCAACAAAGCACUAGCAGGAUCUCCAGCAUGACCUCUUCCAAGCUGCAUGAAAAAAGAUUGAAUACUUAAAUUAUCAAGUCUUUCAGAUAAAAUUGUAGCGAAAGAUUUAUUUGCCUUAAAUCAUACUAUAGACUUCACAUGAAUGAGGUUAGUUCAGGUUCAUUCCCAUGUGAUAGUUCGUAAUAUGUGCAUGAGAGAGACAGAGAGAUGUUAAAAUCAAUCAGACCAUCCGGCCACCAUUUACCUUGUCUAUCUCAUCAAUCAAGACAAGAGGAUUAGCAGUUCCAA